GGUAGAAUGGCUGAAUUUUAAGCGGUGGAUUGUAGCCCCACAUAUAGAGGUUCAAAUCCUCUUUUUACCA
rnacentral:tRNA from 1 species